CCGCGCCAUCCGAGGCUGUCAUCACCGCUGUCGAUUACCUUGCAAAACGUCUCAAUCAACACCGGGGGGACAUCAUACAGGUUUUCAUAGGUUAUCUCGUGAGAAGGAGGCCUACAAUCAGCUGCAGCAACCACCAACCAUUAUUCAGCCAGGGCAUAAAAGUGACACAUUUGUCUAAAGGGCAAUGGCCGUUUCUUCUCACUCCAGGAUUAUGAACGGGGAGUCAUCGUGACAGGGCCACUACUAGUAAAAAUGUCACCGGUAACACUCAAGUAUGUCCACUGGAUGGCGACAUCACACCAGGAAAACAAAUGGGAACCUUGGAACACAGACCAAGGCAAUCGAUCAAACCCCGUUACCAGGGUUACAGGAUGACACCACUGUGAUGUUUAGACAGUGCAGUAGCAUUGAUAACUGUUUACGACAAGACUAACCUAAUUCCACACCACAUGGUGGAUCCAGAGUGCUAUAGUUUAUGGUAGUCAGUCAACCACUGAAUGUGUGCGCGAGCCAUGCAAAGCUUCUAGAUAAAUGAUCAUCAACUCAA